GACGAACGCUGGCGGCGUGCUUAACACAUGCAAGUCGAACGGAAAGACCCUGCUUUUGUGGGGUGCUCGAGUGGCGAACGGGUGAGUAACACGUGAGUAACCUGCCCUUGACUUUGGGAUAACUUCAGGAAACUGGGGCUAAUACCGGAUAGGAGCUCCUGCUGCAUGGUGGGGGUUGGAAAGUUUCGGCGGUUGGGGAUGGACUCGCGGCUUAUCAGCUUGUUGGUGGGGUAGUGGCUUACCAAGGCUUUGACGGGUAGCCGGCCUGAGAGGGUGACCGGCCACAUUGGGACGGAGAUACAGCCAGGACUGCUGCGGGAGGAAGGAGGGGGGAUGAGCGACCGAGGGGCGGAAGUCUGAUGCGACCGCGCCGGGGGCGGGGUGGCGGCUUUCGGGUAGUCCACCGCGUUGACAUGUGACGAAGCGGGGGGGACGGGAAAGGGUAAAGAAGCACGUGCUAACCAGGGGCCACCAGCCGGGUUAAGGUCCGCAGAACCACUCUCUGAAC
rnacentral:rRNA from 1 species